rnacentral:rRNA from 1 species
UACAGAGGGGGCAAGCGUUGUCCGGAAUCACUGGGCGUAAAGGGCGCGUAGGCGGCUUGAUAAGGUUGCGGUGAAAGCCCGGGGCUCAACCCCGGGUCGGCCGUGGCAACUGUCGAGCUGGAGCACUGUAGAGGCAGGUGGAAUUCCGGGUGUAGCGGUGGAAUGCGUAGAGGUCCGGAAGAACACCGGUGGCGAAGGCGGCCUGCUGGGCAGUGGCUGACGCUGAGGCGCGACAGCGUGGGGAGCAAACAGG